GUGGUUGCUAAGGUGUUGCUAGGUGGUUGCUAAGGUGUUGCUAUGGUAUCUAGGGUGGUUGCUAAGGUGUUUCUAGGUGGUUGCUAGGUGGUUGCUAAGGUGUUGCUAUGGUAUCCGUGGUGGUUGCUAAGAUGUUGCUAGGUGGUUGCUAAGGUGUUUCUAUGGUAUCUGGGGUGGUUGCUAAGGUGUUUCUAGGUGGUUGCUAGGUGGUUGCUAAGGUGUUGCUAUGGUAUCCGGGGUGGUUGCUAAGAUGUUGCUAGGUGGUUGCUAAGGUGUUGCUAUGGUAUCUGGGGUGGUUGCUAAGGUGUUUCUAGGUGGUUGCUAGGUGGUUGCUAAGGUGUUGCUAUGGUAUCCGGGGUGGUUGCUAAGAUGUUGCUAGGUGGUUGCUAAGGUGUUGCUAUGCGGUUGCUAAGGUGUUGCUAUGGUAUCUGGGGUGGUUGCUACGGUGUUGCUAGGUGGUUGCUAAGGUGUUGCUAUGGUAUCCGGGGUGGUUGCUAAGGUGUUGCUAGGUGGUUGCUAGGUGGUUGCUAAGGUGUUGCUAGGUG